rnacentral:tRNA from 1 species
GGAAGUUUAGCUCAGCUGGGAGAGCAUCGCCCUUACAAGGCGAGGGUCAUGGGUUCGAGUCCCUUAACUUCCACCA